UACAGAGGGUGCAAGCGUUGUUCGGAAUUAUUGGGCGUAAAGCGCGUGUAGGCGGCUUUGCAAGUCGGGUGUGAAAGCCCUCAGCUCAACUGAGGAAGUGCGCCCGAAACUGCAGAGCUUGAGUGCCGGAGAGGGUGGCGGAAUUCCCCAAGUAGAGGUGAAAUUCGUAGAUAUGGGGAGGAACACCGGUGGCGAAGGCGGCCGACCUGGA
rnacentral:rRNA from 1 species